AGUGUCUCGAAUGCAUACCUAUAUUACGAACGACUGAAUGAUUGCGAUGUAUUUGUAUGUUUUUUUUUUUGUAUUAUUACUCACUGAUGAUCAUCAUCAUCAUCAUCAUCAUGUAUUCGUAUGGCAUCCGUUAAAACACGGCUUUUCAGCACAAGAGUCAUUCCAUAUAUGCACUGUCCUUAAGGCUAAUGAUCUAAAAACCUACUAAAAUACUACGAAUAAGCCAUUUAUACUCAUUUUCUAAGAGAUGCUGUUAAAAUCCAAGUUACCUACAAGCGUAUUUUAAAAUAAGCGGCGGAUGAGAUCUAUUCUAUCUGGGUAAGACUAGCUCGACAUUUCCGCAUCCCCGCGCGGAACGCUACGACCGUGCUGGCGUGGCGAACCUCGUUCGGCGUCUCGUUCCAGCUCGCUGUUGCCCGAAACCCGAAAGAACGUCUGGCGAGCUCCGUGCGGACCCGCGGAAGUUGCAGCAUUCCCGCCAUUGAUCCUCGCGUUUCCCUCUCGGUUACACAAUCGCGACGCUGCAGCAGGUCUCGCAAGUGCGAUGGUGCAUGGACAGAGUUGAGGAGGCGGUGCACCAUGGCGAGGUCACGUUCUGUGAUGAGUCGCUCUACUCUCGGCCACUCAAGUUCAGUAAGAAUUGCUCGCGAUAUCUGGCCAAACACCCCCGCCGACUGCCGCGGACCCUGCGGGGCCACCGCUGCAGCCUGCGCCACAGCCCGCUAACAUUGCUGAGGGUGGGACUAACACACAGGUAGGGGCUCAGCCGCGGGACCCCGCGGCGGCUAGGCGGGCACGUGACCGUGAGCGUCGGAGACUGGCCCGGGAACGGGAAACUGCAGCUGAGCGACUUAAUCGCCAGCAGCGGGACCGUGAGCGCAAGGCUGCGGCACGUGCUAGGAAGAGGGCUGAUGCCAAUGGCGCCGGCCCUUCCAAUGGUUGGCAGGUUGAUACGUCCGUCGCCGGGCCUUCCACGGCCCCGGCGCCGACCAGAUCCGCCGAGGAGGUCGCGGCAGCCAGACGUGAGCGUAACCGGCAGCGUCAGCGUCGUAGGAGGGAGCGGGAGACAGAGGCUGAGCGCAGUGAGCGGCGGAGACGUCAGCGUGAGCACAUUGCAUUGGUCCGCUCUGCGCGUGCUGGUGACGCCGCUGAUUGCCGGUGGGGCGCGCCGCCUUGACCUGGCCGGACGCUCAGCCGCGAGCUCUGUGCGGGUGCGUGCGUCCAUGGCAGAGUGAGCGGAGCACGGCCGAGCGCGCGGGCGGCGGCAGUGAUCAGUGAACGCCGCUGAUAAGCCUGGACACAAAAGGCGGUGAUGUGACAGGUGUAAUGUGCUACGAAACGGUACCAAAUCGCUCAGCUCAGUUCAGAAUUGCGAGAAUUGAAUUCAGAGAGCGGUGAAGACCCAACGCUCACGGACUGCCAGGCGUCUGGGUCUGAGAGCGCCAGUGGUACUGUGAUGCUAGGCGUCUGGGUCUGAGAGCGCCAGUGGUACUGUGAUGCCAGGCGUCUGGCUCUGAGAGCGAGCGCCAGUGGUACUGUGAUGCCAGGCGUCUGGGUCUGAGAGCGCCAGUGGUACUGUGAUGCCAGGCGUCUGGGCCUGAAAGCGCCAGUGGUACUGUGAUGCCAGGCGUCUGGGCCUGAAAGCGCCAGUGGUACUGUGAUGCCCCCACGGGGUCUGGAAGCGGUGGAUGUGAUUUAAAAAAAUGAGUUGAAUAAUUAUGUUUGUUUU